CUUUUUGGUUCAACUCAAUACAUUUCACAAAUAUUUACUGAGAAAUAUUUAUUAGCCAUAAACAGAAUCAGGAUAACACUUACUUUCAAUCUUUAAAAAUUGUCUAGUUUUGGCCGGGCAUGGUGGCUCACACCUGUAAUCUCAACAUCUUGGAAGGCCGAGACAGGUGGACCAUGAGGUCAAGAGAUCGAGACCAUCUUGGCCAACAUGGUGAAACUCCGUCUCUAUUAAAAAUACAAAAAUUAGCUGGGCGUGGUGGUGCACCAGCUACUCAGGAGGCCGAGGCAGGAGAACUGCUUGAACCAGAAGGCGGAGGUUGCCGUGAGCCAAGAUCGCACCACCACACUCCAGCCUGGUGACAGAGCGAAACUCCAUCUCAAAAUAAUAAUAAUAAUAAUAAUUGUCUAGUUUUUUCUCAGGCAGCCAAGAAGAUGGUGGAUUGAGACUGAGCAUGCCUACCACAAGCAGCUGACCAUCAUUCAAAGCAAGAAGAGGGUACUGCUAAAGGAAACUGGCAAGAAGCAGCUCCUAUGGUACUUACAAGAACAUCGGUCUAGGCUUCAAGAGGUCCAAAGAGACUAUUGAGGGCACCUACAUUGACAAGGAAUGCCUGUUCACUGGUAACGUCUCCAUCUGAGGGCAGAUCCUGUAUGGCAUGGUGACCAAGAUGGAGAUGCAGAGGACCACUGUCAUCCAGAGAAACUAUCUCCACUACAUCCGCAAGUACAAUUGCUUCGAGAAGUACCACAAGAACUUGUCCAUGCACCUGUUCCUCUGCUUCAGGAUGUCCAGAUCAGCGACAUUGUCACGUUGGAUAAGUGCCAGUCCCUGAACAAGACGGUGUACUUCAAUGUGCUCAAGGUCACCAAGGUCGCAGACAUCAAGAAGCAAUUCCAGAAGUUCUGAGGCUGAAUGUCUGCCUGCUCCCCAAAAUGAAAUAAAGUUAUUUUCUCAUUCAUACACACAAAAAAUGACUAAUAGGUAAGAUAACCACACAAACUUAAUACACAACAAAAACAUAUUAAAACAUAUUAAUGCAAUUAGAGAUUUAAAAAAAAACUAGCAAGCUGUGUCAAAGAUAUGAUCAAGCACAAACCUGGUUGAGGACAUCUGGAAAGACCUCAUGAGGGAGGUAAAUUCGAUAAAUGCUCGAAGAGUGAAUGAAACAAUUUCUUUUUUACCUUUUAUUAUAGGCAGUUUUUAAAUUUUUUGGCCAAUUGUAGUGGCUAACACCUGUAAUCCCAACACUUUGGGAGGCCAAGG
rnacentral:lncRNA from 1 species